CAGGUAGUCUAGUGGUUAGCGCAGGAAGCCUAGUGGUUAGAGACAGGUAGCCUAGUGGUUAGAGCAGGUAGCCUAGUGGUUAGAGCAGGUAGCCUAGUGGUUAGAGCAGGUAGCCUAGUGGUUAGAGCAGGUAGUCUAGUGGUUAGAGCAGGAAGCCUAGUGGUUAGAGCAGGUAGCCUAGUGGUUAGGUAGCCUAGUGGUUAGAGCAGGUAGCCUAGUGGUUAGGUAGCCUAGUGAUUAGAACAGGUAGCCUAGUGGUUAGAGCAGGUAGCCUAGUGGUUAGAGCAGGUAGCCUAGUGGUUAGAGCAGGUAGCCUAGUGGUUAGAGCAGGUAGUCUAGUGGUUAGAGCAGGAAGCCUAGUGGUUAGAGCAGGUAGCCUAGUGGUUAGAGCAGGUAGCCUAGUGGUUAGAGCAGGAAGCCUAGUGGUUAGAGCAGGUAGCCUAGUGGUUAGAGCAGGAAGCCUAGUGGUUAGAGCAGGUAGCCUAGUGGUUAGAGCAGGUAGCCUAGUGGUUAGAGCAGGUAGCCUAGUGGUUAGAGCAGGUAGCCUAGUGGUUAGAGCAGGUAGCCUAGUGGUUAGAGCAGGUAGCCUAGUGGUUAGAGCAGGUAGCCUAGUGGUUAGAGCAGGUAGCCUAGUGGUUAGAGCAGGAAGCCUAGUGGUUAGAGCAGGUAGCCUAGUGGUUAGAGCAGGUAGCCUAGUGGUUAGAGCAGGAAGCCUAGUGGUUAGAGCAGGUAGCCUAGUGGUUAGAGCAGGUAGCCUAGUGGUUAGAGCAGGUAGCCUAGUGGUUAGAGCAGGUAGCCUAGUGGUUAGAGCAGGAAGCCUAGUGGUUAGAGCAGGUAGCCUAGUGGUUAGGUAGCCUAGUGGUUUGAGCAGGUAGCCUAGUGGUUAGGUAGCCUAGUGAUUAGAGUAGGUAGCCUAGUGGUUAGAGCAUGUAGCCUAGUGGUUAGGUAGCCUAGUCGCUAGAGCAGGUAGCCUAGUGGUUAGAGUAGGUAGCCUUGUGGUUAGAGUAGGAAGCCUAGUGGUUAUAGCAGGUAGCCUAGUGGUUAGGUAGCCUAGUGGUUAUAGCAGGUAGCCUAGUGGUUAGGUAGCUUCGUGGUUAGAGCAUGUAGCCUAGUGGUUAGAGCAGGUAGUGUGGUGGUUAGAGCAGGUAGCCUGGUGGUUAGAGCAGGUAGCCUAGUGGUUAGAGCAGGUAGCCUAGUGGUUAGGUAGCUUAGUGGUUAGAGCAUGUAGCCUAGUGGUUAGGUAGCCUAGUGGCAAGAGCAGGUAGCCUAGUGGUUAGAGUAGGAGGCUAGUGGUUAGAGCAGGUAGCCUAGUGGUUAGGUAGCCUAGUGGUUAGAGCAGGUAGCCUAGUGGUUAGAACAGGUAGCCUAGUGGUUAGAGUAGGUAGCCUAGUGGUUAGGGCAGGUAGCCUAGUGGUUAGAGCAGGUAGCCUAGUGGUUAGAGUAGGUACCCUAGUGGUUAAAGCAGGUAGCCUUGUGGUUAGAGUUGGUAGUGUGGUGGUUAGAGCAGGUAGCCUAGUGGUUAGAGCAGGUAGCCUAGUGGUUAGUGGUGGUUAGAGCAGGUAGCCUACUGGUUAGAGCAGGUAGCCUAGUGGUUAGAGCAGGUAGCCUAGUGGUUAGUGGUGGUUAGAGCAGGUAGCCUAGUGGUUAGAGCAGGUAGCCUAGAGGUUAGUGGUGGUUAGAGCAGGUAGCCUACUGGUUAGAGCGGGUAGCGUAGUGGUAAGAGCAUUGGGCCAGUAACCGAAAGGUUGCUAGAUCAAAUCCCUGAGCUGACAAAGUGGGUCAACUGAACAAGACAGUUAACCUUCUGUUCCUAGGCCGUCAUUGUAAAUAAGAAUUUGUUCUUAACUGACUUGCCUAGUUAAAUAAAGGUAAAAUAAAAAAAUUAUGCUAUUGGAUGGUACGAGAGAGGAACAGCAUUUAGCUGUGAAUGUGUACAAGACAAACUAAUAAUUACACCUUGGUAUGUGUGUAUACUAGUUUACAAUGUACACUAAUCUGAUUGUACACUAUUCUGUGAUUAUGAUUGUCAGUCCAACACUUUAGCCAUUACAACAAGGGGUUUGAACCUUUUUACAUGAGGUUGUUAGGAAUGAUACUAAAGUCACUACAAUACUGUAGAGUUGAGACU